AUACGAGGGGUGCAAGCGUUAAUCGGAAUUACUGGGCGUAAAGCGUUCGUAGGCGGUUAUUUAAGCAAGAUGUGAAAGCCCAGGGCUCAACCUUGGAACUGCAUUUUGAACUGGGUAACUAGAGUACUGUAGAGGGUGGUGGAAUUUCCAGUGUAGCGGUGAAAUGCGUAGAGAUUGGAAGGAACAUCAGUGGCGAAGGCGGCCACCUGGACAGAUACUGACGCUGAGGAACGAAAGCGUGGGGAGCGAACAGGAUUAGAAACCCCUGUAGUCC
rnacentral:rRNA from 1 species